GUACACUCCUGCGGGAGGCAGCAGUGGGGAAUAUUGCACAAUGGGCGCAAGCCUGAUGCAGCCAUGCCGCGUGUAUGAAGAAGGCCUUCGGGUUGUAAAGUACUUUCAGCGGGGAGGAAGGCGAUAAGGUUAAUAACCUUGUUGAUUGACGUUACCCGCAGAAGAAGCACCGGCUAACUCCGUGCCAGCAGCCGCGGUAAUACGGAGGGUGCAAGCGUUAAUCGGAAUUACUGGGCGUAAAGCGCACGCAGGCGGUCUGUCAAGUCGGAUGUGAAAUCCCCGGGCUCAACCUGGGAACUGCAUUCGAAACUGGCAGGCUAGAGUCUUGUAGAGGGGGGUAGAAUACCAGGUGUAGCGGUGAAAUGCGUAGAGAUCUGGAGGAAUACCGGUGGCGAAGGCGGCCCCCUGGACAAAGACUGACGCUCAGGUGCGAAAGCGUGGGGAGCAAACAGGAUUAGAAACCCUUGUAGUCCCAUGAU
rnacentral:rRNA from 1 species